GUUUAGCUAACAUUCAAUGAUGAGUCAAAAUUAAGGUGGAAGUAAUUAGUCCACAUAUGGCCUGAAGCGUUGAAAAAUGCUGAUGCAAUGCUAAAAUGGCAAGUAGCACUACCACUAAUGAUGCGCUUGAUAAUAGAUUUUUCACAAAACCAUGUUCUACCAACUUACUAAAAUUAGCUUUUAUGGGACCCACUAUACACAUGGCUCUUGUCAAUUAGUUCAUUGCUUUAGUAAACCUUAGCUGGGAUCCACUUUUUUAAAGGAUCCCCAAAUGGAAGGACCCGCAUGUCAUAUCAGUAGGCGCUUUCACUCUCAAUGUACGCAU
rnacentral:misc_RNA from 1 species